rnacentral:lncRNA from 1 species
AAACUUAAUAAUUAAUAACAGUGUGUUUUGUAAAACUUAAAAAAUUCUAAAAUUAAUUACGUAUCACCAGUGGAGCCAGUAACUGGUUGGUACGAAAUUAUUUAUUUUGUCUAUACUAUCUAUCUAUUGCUAGGAUAUAUUUGUUGGCUUGCCGCGUGCACUUUUAUUUAUAGAUUUAUUUUCCCUCUUGUUGUUGAUUGCUUAACUGUUUCUCUCAUUUGUUGAUUGAUUGAAAUAAAUAUCUUAAUCACGUUUUUUUUUAUUUACAUUUUGGCUAUUUGUAUGAUUUAUUGUUGAUUGGUAAAAUUGAGGAAUGGGGCUAAGAAGUCCCAUACCGGAAGGGGUUGGGAAGUAUAGUUCACCUUUAUACCGGACGAGAUAUUGAGGCAGUAGCAUAUUUGGUGCCCAUUAUCAGACGGGGUAUGAGGUCAGCCGAU